rnacentral:rRNA from 1 species
GACAGAGGAGGCAAGCGAUGGUCGGCAUCAUUGGGCUUAAAGCGCGCGUAGGCGGCCUUGUAAGUGUCUUGUGAAAUCCCACGGCUCACCCGUGGAACUGCAGGGCAAACUGCAAGACUUGAGGUCGGUAGAGGCGCCUGGAACUCUAGGUGGAGCGGUGAAAUGCGUAGAUAUCUAGGGGAACGCCGGAGGCGAAAGCGGGGCGCUGGGCCGAUUCUGACGCUGAUGCGCGAAAGCGUGGGGAGCAAACAGG